GAUAAGUGCUGAAAGCAUCUAAGCACGAAACUUGCCCCGAGAUGAGUUCUCCCUGAGACUUAGAGUCUCCUGAAGGAACGUUGAAGACGACGACGUUGAUAGGCCGGGUGUGUAAGCGCAGCGAUGCGUUGAGCUAACCGGUACUAAUGAACCGUGAGGCUUAACCUU
rnacentral:rRNA from 1 species